rnacentral:rRNA from 1 species
ACGCUGGCGGCGUGCCUAACACAUGCAAGUCGAACGGGGUAAUUACUUCGGUGAUUACUUAGUGGCGAACGGGUGAGUAACGCGUGAGAAACCUGCCUUUCAGUGGGGGACAACAGUUGGAAACGACUGCUAAUACCGCAUAAUGUUAUUUGGGGGCAUCCCUGAAUAACCAAAGAUUUAUUGCUGAAAGAUGGUCUCGCGUCUGAUUAGCUAGUUGGUGGGGUAACGGCCUACCAAGGCGACGAUCAGUAGCCGACCUGAGAGGGUGAUCGGCCACAUUGGAACUGAGACACGGUCCAAACUCCUACGGGAGGCAGCAGUGGGGAAUAUUGCACAAUGGGCGAAAGCCUGAUGCAGCAACGCCGCGUGAAGGAAGAAGGUCUUCGGAUCGUAAACUUCUGUCCUUAGGGAAGAUAAUGACGGUACCUUUGGAGGAAGCCCCGGCUAACUACGUG